AGAGUUGAUCAUGGCUCAGGAUGAACGCUAGCGACAGGCUUAACACAUGCAAGUCGAGGGGCAGCACGGGAGUAGCAAUACAACGUGGUGGCGACCGGCGCACGGGUGAGUAACGCGUAUGCAACCUACCUAUCAGGAGGGGAAUAACCCGGCGAAAGUCGGACUAAUACCGCAUAAAACAGGGGCACCGCAUGGUGAUAUUUGUUAAAGAGAUUCGCUGAUAGAUGGGCAUGCGUUCCAUUAGGUAGUUGGUGGGGUAACGGCUCACCAAGCCGACGAUGGAUAGGGGAACUGAGAGGUUGGUCCCCCACACUGGUACUGAGACACGGACCAGACUCCUACGGGAGGCAGCAGUGAGGAAUAUUGGUCAAUGGGCGGGAGCCUGAACCAGCCAAGUCGCGUGAAGGAAGAAGGAUCUAUGGUUCGUAAACUUCUUUUGCAGGGGAAUAAAGUGCAGGACGUGUCCUGUUUCGUAUGUACCCUGAGAAUAAGGAUCGGCUAACUCCGUGCCAGCCGCUGC
rnacentral:rRNA from 1 species